AAUAGCGCUGCGAAGAGAGAGCGAGCGGGAGAGAGACAGGCAGACAAGGUGAAAGAGCGCGAGAGAGGCAGGGGCCAGCGACCUAGCUGCUUGUGCGUGCGACCCCUAGCCAAAUGCGCUGUGACGUCAGCAUGGCUGGCAAAUAAAUGUAAAUGAUUUUGCACACCAUUAUGCUUGAUAUUGGGUACUUCUGAAAUAGGUCAACUUUUCAGGCAAUUUGUCAGCGUAGCUAUAGACGAAUUGGAUUUCCAGCAACAAUUUUGAAACGAGUUGGCAGCGCUGGCGCUUGAAGAACUACCUUCGGAGCGGAGGGGGUUCGGCUGCAGGGGGUUGAACCACAUUACCAAUUGCUGCUGCAGGGGAUCUUCGUCUAUGUUAUGGUUUUCCACAGAGUUCCGAUAACAAUAACAGCCAGAUAAUAAAA